AGACUUUCUAGACUUUAUACAUGAUGUCUCAAAACCAUCUAAUACUUUAGAGUACAAAUUUCGGGACUAAUCCCGUACACAACUUAAACAAUACUAAAAGACAUAAAAGAACAUAUUGGGUAUUGUCCUCGAAUCUAUGAGGACUCACCAAGUCUUCACCUUCAACACUUUGAAACCUAUCAAAGCAAUGACAUGUCAUCUUCUCCAAAUCCC
rnacentral:lncRNA from 1 species